rnacentral:tRNA from 1 species
GGCCCUUUAGCUCAGUCGGUCAGAGCAUGCGGCUCAUAACCGCCUGGUCACUGGUUCAAGUCCAGUAAGGGUCACCA